rnacentral:rRNA from 1 species
GACGAACGCUGGCGGCGUGCUUAACACAUGCAAGUCGAACGGAAAGGCCCUGCUUUUGUGGGGUGCUCGAGUGGCGAACGGGUGAGUAACACGUGAGUAACCUGCCCUUGACUUUGGGAUAACUUCAGGAAACUGGGGCUAAUACCGGAUAGGAGCUCCUGCUGCAUGGUGGGGGUUGGAAAGUUUCGGCGGUUGGGGAUGGACUCGCGGCUUAUCAGCUUGUUGGUGGGGUAGUGGCUUACCAAGGCUUUGACGGGUAGCCGGCCUGAGAGGGUGACCGGACACAGUGGGACUGAGAUACGGCCCAGACUCCGACGGGAGGCAGCAGUGGGGAAUAUGGCAAAAUGGGCGGAAGCCUGAUGCAGCAACGCCGCGUGCGGGAUGACGGCCUUCGGGUUGUAAACCGCUUUCGCCUGUGACGAAGCGUGAGGGACGGUAAUGGGUAAAGAAGCACCGGCUAACUACGUG